CUUACCAUGCAAGUCGAGCGGUAAGGCUCCUUCGGGAGUACACGAGCGGCGAACGGGUGAGUAACACGUGAGCAAUCUGCCCUUCACUUUGGGAUAACUCCGGGAAACCGGUGCUAAUACCGAAUACGACCACCUCGGGCAUCCGAUGGUGGUGGAAAGUUCCGGCGGUGAAGGAUGAGCUCGCGGCCUAUCAGCUUGUUGGUGAGGUAACGGCCCACCAAGGCAACGACGGGUAGCCGGCCUGAGAGGGUGACCGGCCACACUGGGACUGAGACACGGCCCAGACUCCUACGGGAGGCAGCAGUGGGGAAUAUUGGACAAUGGGCGAAAGCCUGAUCCAGCAACGCCGCGUGAGGGAUGACGGCCUUCGGGUUGUAAACCUCUUUCAGUACCGACGAAGCGCAAGUGACGGUAGGUACAGAAGAAGCACCGGCCAACUACGUGCCAGCAGCCGCGGUAAUACGUAGGGUGCGAGCGUUGUCCGGAAUUAUUGGGCGUAAAGGGCUCGUAGGCGGUUUGUCGCGUCGAAAGUGAAAACUCAGGGCUUAACCCUGAGCCUGCUUCCGAUACGGGCAGACUAGAGGUAUGCAGGGGAGAACGGAAUUCCUGGUGUAGCGGUGAAAUGCGCAGAUAUCAGGAGGAACACCGGUGGCGAAGGCGGUUCUCUGGGCAUUACCUGACGCUGAGGAGCGAAAGUGUGGGGAGCGAACAGGAUUAGAUACCCUGGUAGUCCACACCGUAAACGUUGGGCGCUAGGUGUGGGACUCAUUCCACGAGUUCCGUGCCGCAGCUAACGCAUUAAGCGC
rnacentral:rRNA from 1 species